rnacentral:rRNA from 1 species
CAGCCGCCGCGGGAAUACGAAGGGGGCUAGCGUUGUUCGGAAUUACUGGGCGUAAAGCGCACGUAGGCGGAUAUUUAAGUCAGGGGUGAAAUCCCAGAGCUCAACUCUGGAACUGCCUUUGAUACUGGGUAUCUUGAGUAUGGAAGAGGUGAGUGGAAUUCCGAGUGUAGAGGUGAAAUUCGUAGAUAUUCGGAGGAACACCAGUGGCGAAGGCGGCUCACUGGUCCAUUACUGACGCUGAGGUGCGAAAGCGUGGGGAGCAAACAGGAUUAGAGACCCCUGUAGUCCCUGUCUCUUAUAC